CCCCUAGAUGUUCUGGGCCGCACGCGCGCUACACUGAACAGUUCAACAAGUCUUAACCUUGGCCGAUAGGUCUGGGUAAUCUUUGAACGCUGUUCGUGAUUGGGAUAGACCUUUGCAAUUAUGGGUCUUCAACGAGGAAUUCCUAGUAAACGCAAGUCAUCAGCUUGCAUUGAUUACGUCCCUGCCCUUUGUACACACCGCCCGUCGCACCUACCGAUUGAACGGUCCGGUGAAAUCUCGGGACGGCGGCUUGGUCGCUUGCGUCCGACUGCUGAAACUUGAUUAAACCAUAUCAUUUAGAGGAAGGUGAAGUCGUANCA
rnacentral:rRNA from 1 species